rnacentral:rRNA from 1 species
GACGAACGCUGGCGGCGUGGAUUAGGCAUGCAAGUCGAACGGUAUCAUCCUUUCGGGGGUGAGAGAGUGGCGAACUGGUGAGUAACACGUAGGUUAUCUACCCUCAAGACGGGGACAACCCAGGGAAACUUGGGCUAAUACCGGAUGUGAGCAACUUUUAGUUGUUUGAAAGGUGGCGUAAGCUGUCGCUUGGGGAUGAGCCUGCGUCCUAUUAGUUAGUUGGUGAGGUAACGGCUCACCUAGGCAAUGAUAGGUAGGCGGCCUUAACGGGUGGUCGCCCACACUGGGAUUGAGAUACGGCCCAGACUCCUACGGGAGGCAGCAGUCGAGAAUAGUCUACAAUAGUCGGAAGACUGAUAGUGCGACGCCGCGUGAACGAUGAAUCCCUUCGGGGUGUAAAGUUCUUUUAUAUGUGAGCAGUGCUUCUUAUAUUAACAGUAUGGGGAGAGAGAUAUUAGCAUAUGAAUAAGCAACGGCUAACUCCGUGCCAGCAGCCGCGGUAAACUCGU